rnacentral:lncRNA from 1 species
GAUGGAGGCCGGCGACAGAGGGGGGCCACUCCCCCGAUCACGGAGGAGCAUGGCCGGCGAUCAGUUGCGAUCGCCGGUGCCGAAAAAUUCACGGGAAAGAGACCGAAACAGAGGUCCCUUUCUCCGAUCGAAAAUUGGCGACUGUCGUCGCCGGCAGCCGCGCACAAGAGCAUGGAAGGAAGGGGAAGAAAGAGGGGAAGAAAAAAGGAAACUCACCUCGGCCUCCGGUGACCUCGUCGGCGGGCAGUCACGGCGAGAACAAGGCAAGGAAUCGCGGCUCUACUUCGGGAAAAUCGGAGAGGAAAAGAGGGGAAAAUGGCCGAUGUUGGGUUUCUAGGAAGGAGG